GUUUUCUCUAAAUUCCAGCUUGCUGUAUUCAUCAAGAAUAUUGAGUCGGUGUGCCUGGAAACUGAAUUGGGUAUGGCUUAUGCUGCUCUACUUCCACUUGCUCAAACACUAGAACAGAUCCUGGGUUCGUGCCCCGAAGAGAAACAGAUCAAAUCUCUCCAUGAAAAGCUUAGCUUCUUGCUAUCAUUUCUGGACAACUCUUCACCCAAAAAUACUGAAUCAAUGACACGUUUGGAAGCAAGAAUCAGAGAUGCAACAUAUGAAGCAGAAGAUGUUGACCUCGCAAAUUGGACCCACCAUGUGGUCAAUUGAUAGCUACUCCACGUAUUCCUCCCUGUGCACAAUCAACGCACGGUCAGAUGCAUACGGCCGGACCAGCAGGGGUGGCGGCGGCCGCAUACACUCCGACAGUCAAGUUAGCUCCAGAUGAUCGGAAUAGUACCAAGGUUGUGGAAAAGGGUGGGGAGGAGAAUAUAUAUUUACUUGUUAUGGAGAGCUAAGUUGUAACAUAUUCAUUACCUUUACCUCUUGUCAAACCUUGGGUAUUUAUAGUUGAGGAGAAUCAUUGGAUGUGGGACACAUGUAUCUGACAAUGUGAGGCGUCUGCUCAUAGGCGUCAAUCAGUCGCGUCUAUAGAGUGGGCGGGUGAUUACUUCUCCCGGGUUGAGUUGACAUAAAGUUGAUAUGUCACAUCAACUAAACUCAUGGAGACGUCAAAUCAAUUAAACUUUGGGGGCAAAAAAGAUCUUGACACAGAUCUCUUCCUGAAAUUGGCGGCGGAUCCUCUGACAGAGAACCUCGGAAUGUACUGCGCCUCAACUUCAGGGCGAGAAUGCUUCGGUCGGUUCGGUAGAUUGUCUGUACCUCAAAGUGCAUUAGCAAAUCGACAACAUUGGUGGUGGCGUCACUUCAGAACCACUUUGCGUGGGUGUUGAACACCUCGCAUAACGCGGUGGUAGACUUUUCGAAGUGGUUCAGAUAGGGACGUGACAGUGGUCCCCCCAAGUUCAGGCAUGAAUAUUUAUAUCAUGGAUGGACUUGUUUUCCCGAUAGUGUAUGUCUGCCUCGGGAUAGGGACUGUGAUUUGUGAGAACUUGUGGGUCGAUUUUAUGUGUUCACCGAAGUGUUGACCUUAGGCAGACGCGCUAAAGCUUCAUUAUUGCGUAAGGAAAGAAAUUAUCCGAGAUUGAUGUGCUGCCAACUGGACGAUGCGUUGGGAGACGACCAAAGUUUUGAAAAGCUUAGGAGGAAAUGCAGUUACCGAGGCGAUGACCCACUGGGGACUCCGCGUCAGGUACGUCUAAAUUUUGUAAAGUUGAGUAAGGAGCUCAUUUGCCACCGGUGCGCUGACCCAUAGGGGACUCCGCAUCAGGUGCAUCUAAGCUUCGUAAAACUGAGUGAGGAGCUCAUCUGCCACUCGUGCACUGACCCACAGGGUACGAUGCGUUGGGAGAUGGCUAAAACUUUGUAAAGCUUAGGAGGAAACGCAACUACGGAGGCGAUAACUCGCAGGGGACUCCAUGUUAGGUGCGUCUAAACUUUGUAAAGCUGAGUGAGGAGCUCAUCUGCCACCGGUGCGCUGACCCACAGGGGACGACGCGUUGGGAGAUGGCUAAAGUUUUGUAAAGCUUAGGAGAAAAUGUAGCUACUGAGGCGAUGACCCGUAGAGGAUUCCGCGUCAGGUGCGUCUAAGCUUUGUAAAGCUAAGUAAGGAGCUCAUCUACCACCGGUGCACUGACCCACAGGGGACGACGCGUUGGGAGAUAGCUAAAGCUUUGUAAAUCUUAGAAGGAAACACAACUACCGAAGUGAUGACCCACAGGGAACUCUGUGUCAGGUGCGUCUAAGCUUUGUAAAGCUGAAUGAGGAGCUCAUCUGCAACCGAUGCGUUGACCUACAGGGGAUGAAGCGUUGGGAGAUUGCUAAAGCUUUGUAAAGUUUAGGAGAAAACGUAGCUACCGAGGCGAUGAUCCACAAGGGACUCCGCGUCAGGUACAUCUAGGCUUUGUAAAGCUGAGUGAAGAGCUCGAUCUGAGAGGGGCAUUUCUGACGUUAAAUGAUUUGACAGCUGUUGCGUAUUUUCAAGCCGAUAGUUGGGUGCGAUGCCCAUUCCCCUAAAAGGCUGCUGUAGCUAGUUAUUGUAGACGACUGGUGGUGAUCGAGGUGACACGUUCUACCUGAGCGUGAAGGACACAACUAGAUCCUGGUUGUAGAUCAAAUCUGACGUUUCAUGUCAACAGCCUAGAUUGAUGAUGCAACUGACGGCCCAGAUUGAUUGCAUUUGAAUUCAAUGGUGAAGAUCAGUUGGGAUGUCCUAUAAAAGGUGGACUUGAGCAUUUGGGGAGGUUUUUACUUUUGCGAAAUCAGAAACUCCAUUUGCUCUCAAAACUCUUGCAUUUUCUGGCGAAAACUCUAGUUUUCGGCGACUCUACAGCGUGCCCUGACCAUUUUCGGUUGUGGAACCCUCAUUUCGUGAGUUUCUGUAAGUAUUUGAAACCUUUUCAUUUCUGAAAAAUGGCUUCUGAGGGUAGUGGUAGCUCGGGGAGGGGGUUGGAACUAGUGCGGAUGGACGAGCCCAUUCUGGAGACCUCCUCCGAAAUAGCCGAAGCGAUAGUUGGGGGGAGAAUAUGGAGGAGGCCAGAUAGCCCUGUAGACACAUCUGUACAUUAGGAAGUGUCAGGUUACCCCUCUAAGCUAAAGGGUGCCGACCUGGAAAGACUUAGGGGUGAAUAUAGGAUCCCUGAUAGCAUAGAUCUGAUCCUGCCCGAAGCUGAUGAACAGGCCUACUACCCUAGGCCAGGGUGCGUAGCAAUUAGCAAGGCCAUUCUUAGAGCUGGCCUUAGGCUUCCGAUCCACCCAUUCUUCCGUAUGGUACUUAGGUCAUAUGGCUUAGCUCCUACCCAACUAAACCCGAACUCAUGGAGCCGAAUGGUGGGCUCCUGGAUGUUGUGGAAAGAGGCGUCGCUUGGGGUAGAGAUGCCCUUCUCUAUUUUUCAGACCCUCUAUAUUCUCAAGGUGGCGGCUGGGGGGGGGGGAUAAGACCAGGGGCUGGUAUUACCUAACCUCAUGGGGUUCCCACACUGCAUUCGUGCUUAAUCUCCCGAGCUCGAUUAAGGAGUGGAAGAGCUCGUGGUUCUGGGCUAUCGGCAGAUGGGACACGAUGGAGGGGACCCCCUGGCACCUUUUACAGUCCCCACGAAGUAUUCAACACUUAGUGAGUACUAUUGUUUUGCGUUUUCCUUUGUUCGUCUUCGGUUCAGAUCAUAACUAAUAUUUGUGCUCUUUUGAACGCAUUCUUCCUCGGUGUAAGUGUUCCACUGACAACUUCAACAUUAUCUGCAUUAUCUAUCAGCUGCAUCCGAAGAAGAGGUCAUACCACCAGCUGAUCAGGAAAAACAUUCACUUCGUGAUGCACGACUUGAUGGCCUCUCAAUGUAAGUGUCUCGAACCGAAUGCCUUUUAGUACUUUUCGAACUCUUUACACUUGUACUAAUUUGCUUGUUCCCUUGCAGAUAACAUUAACAAGAAGCUGCCUCUGAGGCCAGACUUCAAAACAAUUCAGAAGACGAUGGCAGAGGCGAGAGCCCUGAAGACCUCCCCCUCGGCAUACAAAAAGUAAAUGGAGGAUCUGGUAGACGCUAGCAAAAGGCUCCAGCCUCCAACUGAGGAGAAGGUGGCGGAGGACCCAGACGCAAACCUGCUGCAGAAGGGUAAGAAGCCUAUUACCCCCAUUGAAGUGCCCAACUGUGGUGAGGCUGCCUCCGGUCCUGAGGCAGACUACCAUUCCUACCGGGGUAGCCAUCCUGGAGAGGAUGCCUACACCAUCAGAGGCUUCCCCUGCCCCAGCCACAUUACCAGUAGCCGCUGUGCCAAUUGUCCAAGUGCCAGAGCAGCCAAAGAGGAAAAGAGUCCAUCCCUCGAAUGAGGUGGACCUUUUGGGCACCAAUUCGGAGGAUCCAGUGAAAGAAGUGCUGGAGGCUCUUCUUCCUCAUAAUAAAUAUUGGACCAAAGAGUGGAGAGACCACACCGCCUCAUGCACCGGUGAGGACUUGGUUACGACGAACGGUGCCUGCGUGCCCGGGCUCUCAGCACGAGCAUCCAACUCAAAGGCUUGGUGAAAGACCUGAAUGCUAAGAGGGAAGACCUCGCUAAGUACCUCGAGGAGGCGAUGCAGUAUGGGGACACAGUGAGGGAGGCCCAGGCCAAGGCCUUGGAAAAGGAAAAGGCGAGGAAGGAAGCCGAGGCCCAGUUGGCCACCGCUAAGGGAGAAAUAGAGCGGCUGAAGAAUGAGCUCUACGAAGUGAAGUGCCAGGUGGCUGCUAUCACCAGAAGAGUGGAUCAUGCAAACGAGCACCAUCGGCUCACCACGGAGGCUCUGGAAGCCUCAAAUAAAGAAAAGGUGGAGCUAAGGUAGAGGGUGGAUGCCUAAGCUGAGGAGAUCGCCUCCCUAAGGGAGAAACUUAAGUCAACAGGGGAGGUGGCUGUACAGAACUUCAUCGACCACUUCGAAAAGCAUCCCCUGUAUGAUGAUUUUGCAAACUUUUGGGCCUCUUGGAAUGCCCAAUGACUAUUGGGUCGGUUGAAAGAGGUUCACCCCACUCUGGACAUAUCCUUAUUAGAGGCAGAGUUGGGUGGGCCUACUAGAGGGCAGCCUGAUAGGUUCGCAGAGGACACUCCAGAGGUCCCUGGGGCAGGCGAGAAGGAGGCUGGGGUGGAAGAUGCCACAGUAGAAUAGCUUUAAUCAAUCUUUGUAAUAGUUUCGGCCUCUUUUGUAAUCCGAUUCCAAAUGAAUGAAAUGAAAAUUUUUUCUAUUGUGCUGAGCUGUUUACACUUAAGUAUAUGAAUGACAACCACUUAAGUAAAUAUUAAGCGCCUCUUACUAAUAAUGAGUUAAUAACAGAAGAUCGGAUCAAUUAACAUAUUGAAGAACUGAGGUAACAAUUUACUAACCGAUGUGACAAACAGCUAAAGUAUCAUUACUUAGAGGUGUUACAUCACUCUUCACUAAGGCAUUUUCAGUACUUAGUAAGAUAUGGAAGUUACAAAUGAGAUUGGAUCAUGACACACAUUUACUAGACAACAUUGAGAUCGGAUCGGAACACAAGCUCAUCAUUGAUAGUACUUCCUCAAAUGUUCGAUGUUCAAUUGAUGAGGCAGUGCUUUCCCUGCCAUGUCUUCAAUUUCAAAAGUGCCAGGUCGGGAUUUCCUGCGGCUAUGGUAAGGACCCUUCCAAUUCGGUUCCAACAAUCUGGACCCGGUUGGCUUUGAUGAUUGGAAGACCCUUCUAAGGACGAGGUUUCCCAGAUAAAGAGUCCGAUUUCUGACCUUGGAGUUAUAAUAGUGGGUCAUCUUUUUAUGAUACUUUGCCAAGUUCACCUGGGAGGUAUCCCUCCUUUCUUCAAGGAGAUGGAGUUCAUUCAUUCGAGCCUCAUCGUUACUAAUCUCAUUGUAGUGUAUUCGAUGGUGCGAUGGGACUCCUACCUCAACUGGCCUCAUAGCCUUGGCUUUGUAGGUCAUUGAGAAGGGUGUCUCCCCUGUUGCAGUUCGGCUAGUUGCUCUGAUGGACCAGAGGACGUGGGAAAGCUCAUCGACCCAAGCCCCUUUUGAUGUGUCAAGCUUCCUUUUUAGGGUAUGCUUGAUAGUCUUGUUUACUGCCUCAACUUGCCCGUUUGCUUGUGGGUGAUGAGGCGUUGAGAAAUCCUUCUUUAUACCCAGUUCGUCGCAUAAGUCUCACAUUUUCUUGUUGUCGAACUGUCUCCCAUUGUCGGACACUAAAGAGUAGAAAAUGCCGAACCUGCAAAUGAUGUUCUUCCAGACGAAUUUUGUAGUAUUCACCUCGGUGAUCUUGGCAAGAGGUUCAGCUUCGACCCACUUACUGAAGUAGUCAAUGGUGACAAUGGCAAAAGUUGUGAUUCCUCUUCCUUUUGGGAGUGGACCAAUUAAAUCGAUGCCCCAUUUGGCGAAUUGCCAAGGGUUGGUUACUAUGGAGAGGCUCUGAGAAGGCCGCUUUUGAAUAUUUGAGAAGCGCUAGCACUUGUCACAUUUCUGGACAAACUGACAAGCAUCCCUUUCAGGGUCGGCCAGAAGUAAGCUUGUCAGAAUACUUUGUGUACCAGAGCCAUUCCUCCGGAGUGAUUCCCGUAGAUUCCCUCAUGGAUUUCCUUAAGUAUAUACAUGGCCUCUUCGCCUCCUAUACAUCGGAGAAGUGGCGAGGCAAAUCCUCUUUUGUAGAAGACAUCUUCUUGUAGGACGAAGUGUGCAGCCCUUCUUCUUAACUUUCUUGCCUCGCUUCUAGAAGCUAGUAAUGAAUGAUCCUUUAGAUAGGCGAUGAUGGGUUGCAUCCAUAAUAGGGUGCCUUCUAUCCAUAGUACCUCAUCACCUCCAGAUAUGGAGGGCUUCGACAAGUGUUCAAUGGGGACAACCUUUAGUAGCUCUGGAUCUUUGCUACUGGCCAGUUUUGACAGGGCAUCUGAAUGAGUAUUCUCUAAGAGUGGGACUUGAAUCAGCUCGAACCUUUCAAAAUGAGGAACUAGGUCCAGAACCAAUUUUAAGUAUGCAACCAUGCUACUGUCCUUUGCCACGAAGUUUCCAUUGACCUGACUCACUACAAGCUGAGAAUCAAUGUUUGCCUGGAGCCAUCUAACCUGUAUUUCCUUUGCAAGUCAAAGGCCUGCUAGAAGGGCCUCAUAUUCAGCAGCAUUGUUCGAGGCUUUGAAGCCAAACCUUACUGCGCAAUUUAGCUUGUGGUUUUCGGGGCUUUCCAAGAUGAUCCCUGCCCUGGAGCCUGACUCUCUUGAGGAUCCAUCUACGAACAGUUUCCACAUUAGGGGCUCAGCUAGUUCCAUUGUCGCCUCCAUUUCUGGGGCUUUGGCAAACUCAGCCACAAAAUCUUCAAGGCCUGGCCCUUGAUGGCAUGUCGAGGUCAGAACAGUAAGUCGAACUCAUUGAGCUCGAUCACCCAUUUUAGAAGGCAUCCUGAUGCGUCUAUUCUCUGUAGCACUUGCUUCAAUAGGAAGUUGGUGAGAACUUCAAUUGAGUGGGCCUGAAAGUAUGGCCUCAGUUUCCUUGAGGCUAUAAUGAGGGCAAGUGCCAGUUUCUCCAUAUCUAGGUAGUGUGUUUCAGCUGGGAUGAGUGCUUUACUGACAUAGUAUAUCGGCAACUAGUGCUCAUUCUCUUCUAUGAUGAGGACUGCACCAAUUGCCUUGUCUAAGACCACCAAGUACAGGAGCAGUGAUUCUUCUAGUUGAGGUUUGGACAACAGGGACACCUCUCCUAAGUGCUUCUUCAGUGCUUGGAAGGCUCUUUCGCACUCAGAAGUCCAUUGGAACUUCUUUCCUUGUUUCAACACAUUGAAGAAGGGUAAGCUCUUAUCUGUAGCCCUAGAGAUGAAGCGACUGAGUGCGGCUAUCCGACCAUUGAGGCUUUGGACCUUCUUUGGCUUCUGGGGUGACCUCAUUUCAAGCAAGGCCAUUAUCUUCACUGGGUUUGCUUCGAUUCCUCUUUGGUUUACAAUAUAUCCUAAAAACUGACCCGAAACCACUCCAAAGGUGUAUUUGAGGGAAUUCAACUUCAUUUUAUUUUUUUUAAGUAUCUAAAAGGUUUGGUCGACGUGACUCAUGUGUUCGUUUGCCUGGAGGCUUUUUACUAGCAUGUCGUCCACGUAGACCUCCAUGGUUUUGCCAUUGAGUUUGGCAAACAUCAUGUUGACUAACCUCUGAUAUGUAGCUCUGGCAUUUUUCAAUCUGAAGGGCAUGACUUUGUAGCAGUAUAGUCCUGUGUCUGUGAUGAAUGAUGUAUCCUCCUCAUCAGGUCGGAACAUGAGUAUCUUGUUGUACCCUGAGUAUGCAUCCAUGAAGCUCAAGAGUUUAUGUCCAGCGGUAGAAUCCACAAGUUGGUCUAUCCUUGGAAGUGGGAAGCUGUCUUUAGGGCAUGACUUAUUCAAGUUUGUGAAGUCUACGCACACCUUCCACUUUCUGUUGGGCUUCUUCACCAGGACCGGGUAGAUAUCCACUUCGGAUAGAUGGCUUCUCUGAUGAAGCCGUUGCGGCUAAGCUUGGCUACUUUGUCUUUGAGUGUCUCGUACCGCUCAGGGUUGAAGGCGCGUCUUUUUUGCCAAUGUGGGGGCAUAGGAGGAGUUGAUGUUAAGAUGAUGGCAACUAAUCCUUGGAUCUAUUCCCACCAUGUCUUCAUGCUUCCAAACGAAGACAUCUAAGUUCCUUUUCAGGAAGCUCACCAUUUCUUAUUUUGCUUCGGGAGAGAGUACCUUCCCUAUUCGCAAGACCUGACUGGGGUCCUAUAGGUUGGCGGAGAAAGUUUCAAGUUCUUUCAUUGGGGUUGCAUUGGCUCAGAGUCAAUUAUUCGGGGAUCUAACUCAUUAAGAGGGUGCUCUUCUUCAGGGGCCUCUUCCAUGUCAACGUCUUCUUCUUGUUCGGAGGUAUGCCCUUAUUCAGGGAUGUCGAGCAUUUCUAUAUCCAAAUUGGCCUCACUAGCAACUUCAAUUAUGAUCACGUUAACAGGUCGGGGCUCCGAUAUUCGUAGAGAGUUUAAGUAACAUGCCCUGGAGCCCAUUUGGUCGCCUCGGACCAUAGCAAUCCCAUGUUCAGUUGUGAAUUUCAUACACAAGUAGUGGAUGGAGGUGACAGCCCAAAGCUCUUUCAAGGCAGGCCUACCCAAUACUCCAUGGUAGGCCGAUCUGUGGUCUACCACCAAGAAUUCCAUGAAGUGUUGGGCCACUAAGGGAGCCGAACCCAACUCGACGGGCAGAGUGAUCUACCUUCAUGGGACGAUGCUGUCUCUAGUAAAUCCGAAUAGUGGGUCGGUCAUGGAGACUAGCCCAUGUUUAAUUUGCAUUUUGUCGAAGGUGGAGCCGAACAUUAUAUUCACCGAACUGCCAUUAUCGAUGAGCAUGCGUUUGAGUCCGCUUCUUGCCACUACGACUUUCACAACCAAUGCGUUACAAUGGGGGUGGUGAACUUCUUGUGCAUCUUCUUGGGAGAAGGUAAUUGGGGCCAUCCUUUGGCCUCUUGGGACUCGUUGACAAUGUAAGUGAGCAUUGAUAGGUCCUUUGCUUCCCUUGUGUAAUUCCUUUGGGCAUUCCUGAUAUUGCCACCGAUGUGAGGUCUUCCAAUGAUCGUGUCGAUCUCCCUGAUGAUUUGGCCUCCGGAAAAUGGGGCUUGAUCUCUCUAUCUGGACUCUCCUCGGUCCCUUCAUUCUCUUCUUCGGGGUGACUGCUCUCUAUGCCUUCUCUCUCCCCUGUUCGGGGAGGCAGAUCUACGAGGAUGUUUGUUCCUCCUGGAGGGAUGUGGGUCGCUCUGAUCCGGGCAUCGAUGAGCAUCUCUGCAGUUGCUAGUGUCAUGCCCAUAGAGUUGGUGGAAAGUGCAAAACCUUGCCCUUUCCAAGGGCCUAUUUGACUGCUUCUUCUUCUUCUUCUUAGUUCUUCCAGAUGGCCCUGCUUCACCAGGGAAAUUCUCGUAUGCCAACACCGGCAUUGCAUUUAGCGUGGCAGAAGUUAGUGCUUGUCUAGAGGUGAGAGCUAUUGUUUGACCUGCUUAAGUCUAUUGCUGAGUGACAUGGUACGCUGCGGGUCCUCGACCUACCUGCCUUUAAGGCGGAGGGAGUCCUCACGCAGCACGAUUUCGGGUGAUCAAUCACCUCUUCACUGACGAUCUCAGCUCUCAUCAUUUCUACUAGCUCAUCAUAAGUGGAGGGAUUUUUGCUACGCACAUCCCUCCAGAAGAAAGCGUUCAUGUUGAGGCCGCCUUUCAGAGUGGAAAGGGCUUCUCUGUAAGUGACCUGCUUGCAGUACGUGAUUUCAUCUAUAAACCUAGCGAGGUAGCUUUUCAGUGUCUUUUCAGAGGCCUGUCUCAUAUCUUGCAGACAUUGCACUGGGGCCUCUCCUUCUCUGCGUGAGACGUACUGGUUCAAGAAUGUCUUCUUCAAAUCUGGCCAACUCCUAAUGCUCAGGGGAGGAAGUCUGUUGUACCACACUUCAGCAGUUUCGCCCAGGGUUAGUUGGAAGGCUCUGCAAUUCAAAGCAAGCGAGGUUCCCUUGAGGGUCAUCUGUGUCAUGUACUUGGUAAGGUGCUUCUCGGGGUCCUUAGAGGGCAUGAAAUUCGCAGGCAUUAGGAAGCUUUAGAUUUCCCUUGAGAAAUGGAGGUUAUCAUCAUCAUCGUCAAUUUUAUAGGAUCGACAAGGCUCAUCUGACCCUUCAUCAUCUUGAAUGUUCUAGAGAGGUGGAGGUGCUUCUCAUUGACUACCCCAAUCAACUAAGUCCCUUCUCUCCUUUCUAUUUCUAGGAGGAGGAGGUGCUUGCUCUUGCUCCUGUUCUUGCCGAACUGAUCUUCGCACUAAGCAGACCCUAUUACUAGGUCCUGACCUAUUUGGUCGAAGACGCUGACUGACCUUUGUGCUUCAUAUUCUUGAGGAAAAUUGUCCCCCAAUUGUGGUUCUGCUGGCUGGCUCCCUUGCACAUAGGAUGUGGCUUCCGCACCCUUUCUCUUUCUAGGGGACGUUCUCUGUGCUGGCUCACAUGGCUUCGGGAACGAGAUGUAGGGGCUUCCUGAAUUGGGUAAUAUCCUUGGGGCAUUUGAGAGCCUUGGUGACCUCGGGCUUGCAUGAGAAGUUCAUGCAUCGUCAUAUUCUGGACUGCGAUAUCUCUCAUGCCCACAGCUAUUUGAGUCAUUCCUUCAAUGAGCAUGGAUGUUCGACGACGCCGGUGAUGGGGUCUCUGGUGAGUGACAUUGUUAUGGAUCACCUCUUCUUCAGAGGCCUCUCUCAUAAGGUUCUCAUCUUCGUGGCUGGAACUCAUCUUAUUUCCUUUUUCAAGGGUGAUAAGAACUUGGAUUAUAACUUAACUUUUCUCUUUUUUCAAGAAUAUGCCCUUUUCGGUGGUUUCUCGAUGGAGAAAGCAGAACUUUGGAUGGGAAGUUUCCCACAGACGACACCAAUCUGUUGACCUCACAAAUUGGAGCCUCCACGUGACCAAUCGAUAGCUACUCUACGUAUUCUUCCUUGGGCACAAUCAACACACGGUUAGAUGCACAUGGCCGGGGCCAGCGGGGGUAGCGGCAAUCGCAUACACUCCGACAAUCAAGUUAACUCCAGAUGAUUGGAAUAGUACCAAGGUUGUGUAAAAGGGUAGGGAGGAGAAUAUAUAUUUACUUGUUAUGGAGAGCUAAGUUGUAAGAGUUUCAUUACCUUUGCCUCUUGUCAAACUUUGGGUAUUUAUAGUUGAGGAGAAUCGUUGGAUGUGGGACACAUGUAUGUAUCUGACAGUGUGAGGCGUCUGCUCAUAGGCGUCAAUCAGCUGCGUCGGUAAUUACUUUUCCCGAGUUGAGUUGACAUAAGUUGAUAUGUUACAUCAAUUAGGCUCAUGGAGACAUCAAAUUAAUUAAACCUUUGGGGGCAGAAAAGAUCUUGACACGGAUCUCUUUCUGAAAGUGGUGGCGAAUCCUCUAAUAGAGAACCUUGGAAUGUAUUGCGCCUCGGCUUCAGGGUCGAGAACGCUUCGGUCGGUUCAGUAGAUUGUCUGUACCUCGCAAUACGUUAGCUGAUCGACAACAUUGGUGGUGGCAUCACUUCGAAACCACUUCGGGUAGGUGUUGAACACCUCGUAUAACGAGGUGGUAGACUUUUCGAAGUGGUUCGGAUAAGGGCGUAACAGAAGACAUAAUUGAAUUGCAUAUGUCAAAAGAGAUUCUUUCAGAUGGCUUACAGAAGGUAAUAAAAGAGAUUGAUUACAUUUUGGUAGAUGUGAAGAAGAUGAUGGACAUGAACGACAUAGAAGGUUCAUCAAAGUUAAGUUCCAAUAACAAGAGUACUGUAGUGGGUAAGCCUAAACUGACCAAACUGCAAAGAUCAAACCAACUAAUCUCUAUAGUACAUUUCUUUGUUAAAAUCCAUCACAUUUGCACUUCAUAACUACCAAUUUACUGUUAUUAGUUACAUGUUAUUUAUGUAAAAUCUUGCUUGAAUUACUUUUAUAUAUAUAUCUCCAUACUUGUCUAUCUACCUUGUUUAUUCUUAAAGGUCAAGGUAAUGAGAACAGAGAUUUGUAUGUCUAAAAAAUCCAUAUGACAUCAAAAUGUAAAUUAAAGGUUGGAUGGUAAACUUGAAUUUAUCUAUGGCAAAGAAGAAAGUUUAGAUUGUCCAUGUCAUGUUCUAGGCAAGAUGAAAUUGAAUUCCACUAUCAUUUUAAAUCUUGAGAAAAAAGAUAAAUUAAGGAAGUUGAAUGGCAAUUAGAAGUUAGAUACAAGUUAGUUAAAAUGUUACGUAGAAGAAAUAUUAAUUUUCUCCGUCUUUAAAAAGAAUAUGGCAAAUAACUGAAGUGACCAAUAUUUUUUAGGGUCAUUCAAUCAAAAUAUUUUCUCAAUCUUUUCAAUCUCAAUUCUAUUUCAGAAGAGGUGAAGAAGUCUAAUGAACAAAAUGACGUACAAGAUCUACAACCAAGGAAUAGAGCCGGUCCUGUAUCUUAUGGGCCCUGAGGCGAACGAUGAAAAGUAGGCCCCCCAGCGACAAAAUUCAAAGGUGUAUUAUGUGACUCAUUGCUAACUUAAAAAACUAACAUUAAAACAACAACAAAAUAUAUCAUAGAAACGAUUUAUAUUAUAAACCAUCAAACCAAAAAUUUCAAACAAUUAGUUAAAUACUAUUCGUCUUGCUGUUUUAGAGGCAAAAACAUCAAUCAAAUCUGAAUAACUUAACUGCUCAACCAUUUCUUUUUCUAUUGAUAACGUAGUUAACCCGUUUAAUCUUUCUUGCGACAUAGUUGAUCGGAGAUAGGUCUUGAUCAACUUUAAUUUCGAAAAAAUUCUUUUCGCAGAUGCAACUGUAACCGGUAUGAUUAACAAAAUUUGGUAAGUAAUAUAAGCAUUUGGAAAACAAACAUCCAAUGUCUUCAAAUAUUGUAGCACUUCAAUUGCUCUUGUUGCUUCACUUGGUAUAUAACACCUCAAGACUUGUAACUUCAAACAUAAGUCAUCCCGACUGAUGUCCGAAUGCCCAUUAUGUUGAAGAUAUUUCUCAAAAUUCAAACAAGAGUUCAACAAACUCGAAAAAGUUGCACUCCUUAACCUCUUCAAACUACACAAAAAUUCAAAUGUGUCAUCAUAUUGUUUGAAUUAUUCAAAUCGGGUCCUCAGAGAAGAUAGAGCUUGAUCAAUUAUAAAAAUAAAGUACUCAACUCUAAAAGAUUCUUCUGCCGAUUGCUUUACCUCAUCACUACCGCUUUAAUCAAAUUGUUUUUUUCUUCGAAUUAUGCGUUUUUCUAUAAAUACAGCUUCAAUUCCCAUUUCGCUUGCCUUUUUUGUCCUUCAUCUUUAGCAAUAGCAAAUCCAAUUUCUCUGUAUUCUUCAAGAAAUGAAACAAGUCAUUGCAAGAGGUCGAUAGCAUGAUCAAUAUCCAUGGAUUCCGUUUGAAGAAAUUUACUCACAAUAUUGACAGCAUGCAACAAUAUGUACCAGAUUAUCAUGCAAACAAAAACUCAAAAUUUUGAAGUUCAUGUGUUGCUAAUGACUCGGCUUCACUCUUCCCUUUAGGAUCUUCAUUACUUUCUACCAAAUCAAGUAAUGCAUCUCUUAUCUGUGCAUUUUGCUCCAUUAUAGGCUUCACACUUUCAACAUGACUUUUCCAACAUGUUCGUGACAAUGGCUUCACUGUCAAUCCUUGUAAAUUAUCUUUGAAAAUUUUUCAUCGCUUGGUAGAAGAGGAAAACAAUGUGGAGAUGCGUUGUAUCACUCCGAAGAAGGAUACAACUUUGGAACAACAGUUCACCAUAUCACAUAAUACUAGAUUUAGACUGUGAGUGCCACAUGGAGUAUAGAAAGCUCGGGGAUUCAUUUCAUGGACUCUUCUUUGCACACCUUUGUGCUUCCCGCUCAUGUUAGAUCCGUUGUCAUACCCUUGCCCUCUAAUGUCAUCAAUACUGAGAUCAAUUUUUAUCAAAGCCUUUUGAAACUCAGUUGCAAGUCCAAGUCCUGUUGUGUCAUCUACCUUCAAAAAUUCUAGCUAAUGUUCUUGAACUGUAGGUAAGUUUCCCGAAUUAUCUACAAAUUCUACAAUUAAAGAUAUUUGCUCCUCCUGACUUGUAUCUGGAGUACAAUCAAGUAUAACUACGAAAUAUUUUGCAUCUUUAACUUUCUUGACAAUUGAACUUCUCACCUGAUUAGUCAACAAUUGUAUCAACUCAUUUUGAAUUUUUUUGCCAAGAUACGUAUAUUGAAUCUCUCUUGCUUUAGCUCGCCGAAGGUGCUCUUGCAUUACUGGAUCAAAUUCACUAACCAUUUCGACCAUUUGUAAAAAUAGGCCAUUGUUCUCAACAUGUAGUCUCUCAUCAUCUCAUCGAAAUGGCAAUGUGUUUUUCGCAAGUCUUUUAACAAUAGCAAUUAUCCUUGUUAAUACAUGUCUCCAAUGUUCUCUUUCAACAUCAAUCAACAAUUCAACGCUUUUAUCAAUUGUAAUUUUUGAUCGAAACCUAUUUUCCAAUUCAAUCCAACUAGUCAUGCAACAUAAAUGCUCCUCAUUUCCUUCAAUGACUUUUAAUAGAUCGAUGCAAAUUAUGCCAAUCUUUGAAUCCAUCAUUACCUAGUUGGCCAAAUUUUAUCACAUUUAUUGGUGUUUUAAACAACUUGCAGCAAAAGCAGAAGAUCCUGUCCAUUGACACUAAAUAUACUAUCCAUCUUCUAUCAACUGUUUUCCCAUUUGGCAACAAUCGCUCAUAUUGUGAAGAAUCGAAAUGUCUAUUUGUAUAGUCUUUCGGAAACAAGAUGUCAUCAACUCUUUUUGGACCUCUUUCAACUAAGUAAUCCCUUGUUCUUUGAUCAAUAAUUUUCCAAUUCCCGGCAUCAUCCAAAUUUAGAGAAAAGCAACCCUCUUCUUCCUUAUCAUCUUCUUCAUUAUUAGAGGCGGGCUUCAUCACUUCUUCUUCCUUAUCAUCUAAUUCGUUAACAUCGGUAGGUUGACUCACUUCUUCAUCCUUAUUAUCUACUUCAUUAACUUGGAUUGGUUGAAUCUCUACUUCAUCCUCAUUCAACGCAUUCACAUUGUCACUUUUGAAGUACUUCUUAAUAUCCUCUACUUGACUUUGAAUUAAUGCAAUUUCAUUUCAUUUUCUUUUCCUCUUUUGAGCACCAGACUCGUAUUUAGGAGGCAUAGUAAUGUCCAAUGAUUAGCCUAAAAAAUAAUUACAAAAUAACUCAAUUAUCUCACAAUUAUAGUUUCCAAUAUAGUUACUAGGUACGCCUGUGCAAUUGUUCAUCCUACGAUAAGCAAUCAUAUAAGCUGACCAGGCUACAAUUAUAUAAGCCGACAAGGCUUCAAACAUUUCCAAUCUCUUCAAUAACAACUUAGGGUAAGCCAUUGCUUAUCUGAUAAGUGAAAUUUUGACGAAAAUUGUGGAAUUACACCAUUGAGAAUGAUCCCGUUUUCUAAAUUGGUGGUAAGCUAAUCUCAAUUUUUGUAUUGUGUCAACGAUGCUCUAGCAUAACAAAAAGAAACAUGUAUAAAAAUAACAAGUAUAUGAUGGAUUAAAAUGAAAGAAAAAACAAGUAUAUGAUAAAUUAUAAAACUUCAAUUUAGUUAAAACAUGGAUGUUGCUAGAUCAGAUAACCACAAUUGAAUCAGAGAACCACAAGCUUAACUAGAUUAGAAAAGGAAAAAAGUCCUUCAAUUUUCGUGUUCAUUUUAAUUUUUCUUCGUGGACCAGAUUGAUCUUAAUAAUUUUCUUUGUAACAUACUUGUUGAUUGAAGUAAGAUUAAGCAAUAAACAAGAGACUUUCACUUCACCUUGAGAAAUGAUUAAGCAAUAAACAAGAGACUUUCACUUCACCUUGAGAAAAACAUACAUGUCAGGCCAAAAUUAGCUUGACAACUAUAUACGUUCUUUCUUUUUCCAUUAGAUAUUUUCUAUUUCAAGAUAGCUAAGUAUUUUUUAUAUCUGUGUUCAUUACAUGAGUUUCUGAUAUGCCACUGGUGUGGUUCACAUAUGCCAGGAGGGUAAAAAGGUUCUGAACAAGCUAAAGGGGCAAAAAUGGAAGUUCAAGUCAUGGAGUCGCUAAAGAAAGAAGAGUCCAUGCAACCAGAGAUGGAGUCCGUGUAGCCAAGAUUUGAUUAAGAUAUAUUUGUAAUUAGGUUGAUUUGUUUUAGCAAAUUGUGAGUUGGUUAGGAGGACCUUUGCUGAAUAAGUGUGGCAUUAGUUCACCAAAAAUAAAGAGGGGGCAGAGUUUAGUCAAUCAUCCUGAAAUUUGAGGAAACUAAAAGAGAUACCAAGCCUCUUAAAUGCCUGGUAACAUGUAUCACUUUCCAUUUCUUAUUUGUAAUUUCCUCUUCAGUACAAGUGCUAUUAUCAAAUAUAGUAUUGUUUACAAUUCCACAAUUUGUUGGGUUUCUACCCAAAAACCAAUUCAUUCUUCAAUUCUGUAAUUCGUGUUCUAUCGGUUGCCUGAUAUCUACUAGUGAUGAAAUAAUUGAUCCUAGUCAGUAAUGACAACUGAUCACUAAAUAUUGCCUUUUGAAGCUGAAUACAUUUCUUUCUCUAUCACUUAAGUUUAAAGCAUUAUUCAAGAUUCCAAGUUGGACAUGUGUGACUGAUAUCUAUGCAUCAAUUUAUUGAAGAUUUAUCAAAUCAUUACGGGUACCUAGGGUUUUUUCUUGGAGCCGUAAAUCGUAAUGCUGAAUCCUUCACAUAAUGGUCUGAAAAUCAGAAUAAUAUUUUAUAUUUCAAUCUCUGAACUUAAACUUAAAUCUUGUAACUUGAAAGCUAUACGAGUACCUAUUGAGGUAGAACUAUAGAAGCGACUAAGCGAGUCAAGUGUGAAGCGGAGCGGAGUAACAGCAUCAAUUCUACAUUCACCCAAAAAUCAUUCACCGG
rnacentral:lncRNA from 1 species